rnacentral:snoRNA from 1 species
GCACCAAAAUCUUUCCCAUUCCUUGCGGUGCGGUGCAGGCCUGGGGACAGCUGGUGCCACAAUACAGCAGAGGAAAUCCAGACAAGUUGCUUUGCACUUCACUUGGGACUUGUCUCUACAACUCUGCAACACUC